GAUGAACGCUGGCGGCGUGCUUAACACAUGCAAGUCGAACGGUGAACGAGGGAGCUUGCUCCCUCCGGAUCAGUGGCGAACGGGUGAGUAACACGUGAGCAAUCUGCCCUGGACUCUGGGAUAAGCGUUGGAAACGACGUCUAAUACCGGAUACGAGGCGUGGGGGCAUCCCCAACGCCUGGAAAGAACUUCGGUCCAGGAUGAGCUCGCGGCCUAUCAGCUAGUUGGUGAGGUAACGGCUCACCAAGGCGACGACGGGUAGCCGGCCUGGGAGGGUGACCGGCGAAACUGGGACAGAGACACGGCCCAGACUCCUACGGGAGGCAGCAGUGGGGAAUAUUGCACAAUGGGCGCAAGCCUGAUGCAGCAACGCCGCGUGAGGGACGACGGCCUUCGGGUUGUAAACCUCUUUUAGCAGGGAAGAAGCGAAAGUGACGGUACCUGCAGAAAAAGCACCGGCUAACUACGUGCCAGCCGCCGCCGUAACAC
rnacentral:rRNA from 1 species